AUUGAACGCUGGCGGCAGGCCUAACACAUGCAAGUCGAGCGAGUGGCGGACGGGUGAGUAAUGUCUGGGAAACUGCCCGAUGGAGGGGGAUAACUACUGGAAACGGUGGCUAAUACCGCAUACUAUCGGAUGUGCCCAUAUGGGAUUAGCUAGUAGGUGGGGUAAAGGCUCACCUAGGCGACGAUCUCUAGCUGGUCUGAGAGGAUGACCAGCCACACUGGAACUGAGACACGGCCCAGACUCCUACGGGAGGCAGCAGUGGGGAAUAUUGCACAAUGGGCGCAAGCCUGAUGCAGCCAUGCCGCGUGUAUGAAGAAGGCCUUCGGGUUGUAAAGUACUUUCAGCGAGGAGGCGUUACCCGCAGAAGAAGCACCGGCUAACUCCGUGCCAGCAGCCGCGGUAAUUC
rnacentral:rRNA from 1 species